CAGUCAAGCGGAGUACCGUCUUUUGAACGCCUUUGCUUAACGUGGAAAUGCAAGGCUUCGCAUUCCCUGCUGCCACCGUUGCUUUCCUCCUUGGCCAAAAUAUCCCGGACCUCAUCUCUCUCCCUGCACUCACAGCCGGGUUCGUAUCCCAGUCCGGACACCUCACUACUUCAUCGCAAGCUCUGCACGUGCUGUUUCCCCCCUGCUGUUGGUUGUUACAAGCUGCCCUCCACGCGCGGGUCUGCCACGUCUGCACGGACGUAACCCUAUUCGUGGGCUGCUAGCGUGUUCUUUCAGUAGUAACAGGAGUUACAAUGUAGAGAUGCUCCUUAACAAGACACCGAGGGAGUUUUCAGUGGGAGGUGGUCCUUCAGUUGGGGAGCAGCUAACCAGCCAGUUGGGGGCGGGGCAAGACCAGUGGUCUGCAGAGGUUGCCUACUGCUCCACAGUAAAGUUCAUAGUUUAGUCCGUAUUCAUGUAUGCCUGGGUUUAGUGAACCAUGUAAUCACUGUUAACACUCUCUUCCAACCCAGACGUGCACCCAGAGAAUAAAUUAACCACUUCAGUUCCAGAGGACCACCAUUCAAAAACAAGUGGGUAAGCUUAGACACAAAAGCCUUUCAUGGAAGUGCUGCAGUCAUUCUUCAGGCCUUAACUGCAACUCUGGUUACAGCAGCAGGUUUGCUCUACACCUGUCUGUCUAGUUUAUACAGAUGUCAUACAUGUGACAGGUUGUUUCUCUAUGAAACGUUUAAGAUGACUCACUGCCGUUCCAGGUACCCAGCCCCUGCCUAUAUUAGGCUGCUUGACAGCGCCGGAGAUGGACCAUGCGUGGCUUAGGAUGGCUCUGCACUACACUUUGGAGAAGGUUGGCCAACCCAGAGUUUGUGCUCACACUAGCUCUCCUGUCCUGUCUGGGUAGACAAAGAAGAGCGAGCUAUGCUCCAAACUUUUUUUUCCAGACCAGCCUGACGGCCUGUUCCAGCCUGGAGCGCACUCUGUCAAAUAGCUCCUGUGGCCGGGGGAAAGUGGAGAGGAAGCAUUUUGGCAGCUGGCUUCACUAACUUACUGCACAUGUACGGAAUGGUGUGAAGUUACAGGUAAGUAACUGAAAAGGGGGCGUUUCUCUGUCUGCACCACUUGCUACAAAAUCUUUAUUUAUAAACAAACAAACAAACAUUGUUUAAGUCCUCAAAUUAUUCAAGGCAUAUUAUGUCACUUGCUUCACUACGUGAUCUUCUGAUGAAAGAGUAAAUGGCAGGUAAACUUGAAGGAUUUUUGCUCGACUAGGAUUUUAUACUGCUCCAUGUAAAUAGAGUGCCAGAAACUUCUUGAAUGUGUCUGGUUCA